AAAACUGAUUACUGCCUGUUCCUUGAGGGAUCAUUUCCAGUAGAUCCUGUGUGCAAAAUGCUUUGGGAUUCUGAACAAGAGGUGUUAUACAAGUCUAAAGUAGAGCUGUGCAAAAUUAAAAAAAAAAGUAAUCUGGACCCACAUCUACAAGAAAGCCAUAACCACAGAAUGGGAAGAGUCGCUCUCUUUCUCGGUGACUAUUUAACUAUUCCACAUGAAAUGGAACCAUUUCAACAGAGAGUUUCCUGCACCAGAAUACCUGCUAGUGUGGAGCUAGAGGCACUCUCCUGAAUGGGAACCAGAAUUCCCAUAAACUGGAGGAGUACCCAGUGAAAGGGUGGCAGCUCCUCUUCCAAUUGUGCCGGGUAUGGAUAAUUAAGCUGUGGAUUUCCUGUCAAGAUGCAACGCUACAAUGACGAUGGCUGGGAGGCUAGAGGGACUACACCAGAGAAAUGAGGACAUGAGCAACACCAGUGGCAGGGAAAAAGAUUAUGCCCCAAGGUGAUUUAAAUGGGAGGGAUAUGUGGCAGCGAAGAUCAUGCUGCCAGGUCUAAGGAUGGUCUAGGCUCAGGGGAAAGGGCCUUGAGGACCCCAAAGAUGUCUGGAGAGCUAAGGGCUAGCACUCUUCUGGUGGAACUAGGUAAGUAAGCGAUUUGCUCCAAUAAUCCUCUGUUGCUUACAGGAACAAAGGGGCAGCUUCCAUCUUGUCUGCUGCCUUUCAUGCUGCCCCACCAGCCAGCACCUUCCCCUCCCAAUAGUGAGGACCACUGGUUCCCACUGAGAAGCCAGCAUUUUAUUUUUAAGGGUUUUUUUUGGUUGAUUUCACAGAUUUUGUGGACAAUCCUGGCUUUUACAGUUUCCACAAAAUCUGUGAAACCACAAUUAAGCAGGUCUCUAUUGGUUGGUCUUAGUGCAUUAUCAUAUCCUUUCCAUUCUUAUUA